UCAGGCCUAACACAUGCAAGUCGUACGAGAGUUUUUAACUCUAGUGGCGGACGGGUGAGUAACACGUGAGAAUUUGCCUUUAGGAGGGGGACAACAAUUGGAAACGAAUGCUAAUACCCCAUAUGCUUUCGAGUGAAAUGGAUUUUAUCCGCCUAGAGAGAAGCUCGCGGCUGAUUAGCUUGUUGGUAAGGUAAGAGCUUACCAAGGCGACGAUCAGUAUCUGGUUUGAGAGGACGAUCAGACACACUGGAACUGAGACACGGUCCAGACUCCUACGGGAGGCAGCAGUGGGGAAUUUUCCGCAAAGGGCGAAAGCCUGACGGAGCAAUACCGCGUGAGGGUAAAAGAGCCUAUGGGUUGUAAACCUCUUUUUCAGGGAGGAAAAAAUGA
rnacentral:rRNA from 1 species